CGAGAGGACCGGGACGGACGAACCUCUGGUGUGCCAGUUGUACCGCCAGGUGCACGGCUGGUUGGCUACGUUCGGCAGGGAUAACCGCUGAAAGCAUCUAAGCGGGAAGCUCGCUUCAAGAUGAGGUCUCUCACCGGGUGUAACCGGGUAAGGCCCCCGCCCAGACCAGCGGGUUGAUAGGCCGGAGGUGGAAGCACCGCGAGGUGUGGAGCUGACCGGUACUAACAGGCCGAGGGCUUGACCA
rnacentral:rRNA from 1 species